rnacentral:lncRNA from 1 species
UAUAGUGUAGUAGAGCUCAUUUCUGAAAAUUAAUAAAGCAAAAUUUAAAUAUGUGAAAUCAUAUAAUAGAUAAAUAUAAUUUUUUUUGAAUUGUUUGGACUUAAAUUUAAAUAUAUUUUUCCUUCUCUUGUAUACAAAAUAUAAUUGUGAUUUUAUUCCAAUAAACUCAUAAAUUACAGUGCGAAUUUCGAUGAGGAAGCUACAAAAAAAAAUGUAGUGUACCAGAGUUAACCUUUAAAAAUCAGUGAUGUAAAAUUUAAAAUGCAAAAUCACAAAAUAGAUAAAUAUAAUUUGUUUGAUUGUUUGGAUUUAAAUUUAAAUUCUAAUAGAUAAAGUUUUUUAGCUCAUGGUUGAUGUUGUGGGCAUUUUCCAUCCUCUAUUAUUGAUAGGAAGUAAAUGAUUUAUUGAAAAGAGUAUUCAUCUUGUGUAUGAUAUUCUCUAUAAGCCAAUAUUAAAAAAAAUAGUAAAUAGUUUAUAUUUAAUUUUAAAUUUUAAAAUAAUUUUUUAAAAAAUAUAAUUUUUAUAAAUAGUUUUUUCUAAUAGCACAUAUUAUAGAGGUUUAAAUUGUAAUUUUAAAUUUAUAAAUUAGAAUGAUUGUGCUUUAUAUAUAUGGUUCAACGAACUUUAUUCUUCUGUACAUUAAGGAAGGUGGUGCCUAAGAAAUGUAUGUGCUCAUAGAAAUGAAUAGUUUAUAGUUUCUUCAAUUAGUAGAGAAAGAAAAAAAUUAUGUGCAAUCCUUUUAUCUUUAAAGCAUCGGAGAAUUGGAGAUUUAAAUAUUUUCUUCUACAAACAAAAAUAUUAGAAUUUUUUCAAUAAAUAAAGAAAUAAAAAAUUUAAUAUUUGAUUUCUUCAUCGUCUUAGCAUCCGAUAAAUGUGGUGUGAAGGAUCGAGAUAUAUCUUCUCCAAGAUACGAAAAAGUUUCUCUAAGAAAUAAAGAGUUAAGAGUUUUGACGAAAAGGUAUCUUUUCUAAAAAACGAAGAGAUUUCUCCAAGAAACGAAGAGGUUGAGGAGAUAUAUUUUGUCCAAGAAAGAAAGAGGUUUCUUAAAAAAAUAAAGAGAUUGAAUAAAAAAGUGUACACUUUAAAUAAAUAUAAUUAAUAAUUAUUAAAUAUUUAUAAAUUAUUUAUUUUUAUUAUUUCUCUUUUUUUUUCUAUAUAAGUUGCCAUAGGCAAUGACAUCAAUUAGAACUUGAAUUUGAAGAGAAAAGAACUAUUAGAAGAAAAUAUCCUGAAUAUUAUGUGAAUUUUAAUCAAUUUGGUGAUAUUUAUUUAAUUGGUCUUCAUACACUUACUGAACAGUUAGUUUUGUAAAAUUAUUUUUUUAAAAUUUUUUUGUUCAUAUGUAUUUUUUUGAAUUUUUUAAAAAAUUGAUUAUUUACUUAUAUUUGAGUGAGUUGUAUACAAUAAAAUUGGUACUUGUUGUAAUCUUUUUAAUUUACUUUCAUAUUUUUCGAUGAUUUGAUGAAUUAGUUGCAUAAUAACUUGCUUUCACGUUGUAAAUUAAUUAUCUUCUCUAAAAUAUGAUAUAAAAUAAUUAAUUAAUGGCUAAAUUACAUAAAACUUCCUUGUCAAAAUUCGUUUUUUUUUUUUUCUCUCUGUCAUUUAAAAACUUAUACUUUGCCUCCUUGUAAAAUAAAAAAUAGUCAUAGGGGGUACGGUAUAAACUGUGAUGACAAAAUGACCAUUUUGCCUCUCAUCAUUUUUGUCAACAGGAGAGAAGGCUGAGGAUAUUUUUGGCAUAAAAAUAUAUAAUAAUAUUUUAUAAACGGAACCCUAACGGAUCACUAACGGCAGGGAGUGAAGUGAACAUUUUUUAUUUUAUAAAAGAGCAAAGUGUAGGUUUUUAAAUGACAGGGGGGUAAUGUGAAAAAUCGAAUUUUGAUAGAAAAUUUUCUGUAAUUUAGCCGUAAUUAAUUAUCACUUUUAUCUUGUUAUUUUAAAAAAACUUUUGCUUUAGUACUUGACAUUUAUUUUGUAAUAACAACAAAUGGUUACAUCCUGACCGUUGAUAUUUCUAGGAAUACAAUCGAAAGUUUUAUUUGUUCAACUAAUAGUUAUUUUUUCUUUUCUAACAAAAUUUCAUAACUCAAUUGAGAGGGACCCAUAUAAAAUAUUACAAACUAUAAACAAAAUACACAUAAGUAUUAUAUAUAGAAAAUAUAGCAAAAAUAAAAACAAACAAACAUACAGAUAAACGCAAAUAAAUCAACUCACAGAUAAUCGCUAAAUCCCAAAAUUGUGGAAAAAGAAUAUCAACAUAUUAAUCCGGAAGCGUGCGAGGCACUGCCCUAAGGCGUAUUCCCGUCCUUACGUGCGGGAUUAACCGGAAAUAAUACCCCAAGGUACGACCGAAAUUCCUCAUUCUGCGAGCACGAUCGUGAAGGAGAUUGACGAAGAUUCUCAACACCCAGUGGAUAAGGGGAAUAUUCAAAAAUGAAAGAUAAAAGAAUAAAUGGAUAGAGAUUAACCAAUGAUCAAAAAUCUUUUUUACCUGCUCUAUCUUGAGUAAGAAGAAAAGGAAAAAGACCUAAAAAGGAAAGAGGAUUUUACGUUUUUUCUCUUACGAGAAAGAAGCGGAACCCGCCCAACGUAACGCGGAAGAAACGGAACGGAAAAAAAAUUCCAUUAGUUUCUUUCACAUUAAGAAAGAUAAUAAAAUAAUUAAAUAAAAUAAAAUAAAUAAAGUAGUAAAUAAAUAGAAUCAUAAAUAAUAAAUAAUAAAUAAUUUAAAGUUCAAAUAAAAUAAGUU